GGGAAAGCGGCUUUUAGCUCAUUCCCUUUGAAUAAGCUAAUAACAGAAUUUCAUAGAUAACGGAGACUCUUUCUUUUCUGAGGAACGAAUCUCCGUAGCUCAAUAGCAAGCAAGCUCUCGGCACUUACUUACUUAUGAGGAAAAGGAUGGAGACCGCCCUUCUUUCUUCACUAUCUGGCUAUCGAGAAGAUAAAAUUGAAAUGCAGGGGAGUCAGUCAAUAGGCAGAAAAGUAACCCAAGGGAAGAUCAUGUCACUGAAGACCAAGCCACGAGCUAGCUCAGUUAGAACGAAAUUAGGACUACUCUCACGACUAUGGACAGUUCUCCUUCCCCCCCACCACCUACCUUCCCUGAACGAGCUCUUUCUAUCCGUUCCUUUCCCUUACUUCCCUAAAAGCUGGAUCUAUCUCUUCCUCCGAGUCGUGCCUCACCAAAACUAGAGAUUUUCUUACAGUCGUGACAUCGCUCCGCCAGACCCAGUUUGGACCAGGGGGGGUAGUGACACUUGUCGUUCAAGAUAAAGGGGAACGAUCCGCUUUCCGAACCACCACCGUUGACAAGUCUCCUUAACGAAACAGAAAAGGUCACCAAGGGGCCUUCGCUCGAGGUCUGGAACGGAGG
rnacentral:misc_RNA from 1 species